rnacentral:rRNA from 1 species
UACAGAGGUGCCAAGCGUUAGGCGGAAUCACUGGGCUUAAAGCGCGUGUAGGUGGACGGGUAAGUAUCUUGUGAAAUCCCACGGCUCAACCGUGGAACUGCUCGGUAUACUGCUCGUCUUGAGCCAACUAGGGGCGACCGGAACAAACGGUGGAGCGGUGAAAUGCGUAGAUAUCGUUUGGAACGCCGAUGGUGAAAACAGGUCGCUGGGGUUGUGCUGACGCUGAGACACGAAAGCCAGGGGAGCGAACGGG